AGGGACUCCCUUGAAAGGGCCAGGCAGUGGCCAAAGAGGCAGAGGAAACCUGGGGGAAUGAUAAUCAUAACUUGAUCAAGUGUUGGUUUAUCAGUCCUGCAUUCAGAUUUCCAAAAAUAUCAGUUAGGCUCCCAGUAUACUGGACACCUUGGGGAAUAAGAGGUAAGUCAUAAGGUUGACCUUUCAAGAUCAAAUGGAAAGGAAUCAUGAGUGAAAUAUUUAUGUGUGGAAAGAACUUGAAAUACCAGAUCCUAAGUUCACCUUCCCUUUCCUCACUAACAUCUCCUCACACAUAACUCAUAGCAAUGAUGGCUAAGGUGAAGUGGAGCCAAAGGGAGUGUGCGCUCACAAUGGCUUAUUUUCGCAUUGCUGGGAGGUAAAGAGAAAGGCAAUGGGAGAAGAGAAGGAACCAGAGAGGGCAGAGUUUCACACAAGAUCCAUGGUUUCUUCUUUCUCUCUUCUGCAGGAUGUUCUCUUUGCCACUCCAUCAACCCAAGGAGUCCCAGAAGAGUGUCCCUUGAAGGGUGAUUCUACAGUACGAAGCUGGUGCUGCUUCUUUCAGGAGCUCCUACAGAGACCUGGGAGUAGAGAUGUGCUACAAUAAAUU
rnacentral:lncRNA from 1 species